AUUGAACGCUGGCGGCAGGCUUAACACAUGCAAGUCGAGCGGGGGAAGGUAGCUUGCUACCGGACCUAGCGGCGGACGGGUGAGUAAUGCUUAGGAAUCUGCCUAUUAGUGGGGGACAACAUCUCGAAAGGGAUGCUAAUACCGCAUACGUCCUACGGGAGAAAGCAGGGGAUCACUUGUGACCUUGCGCUAAUAGAUGAGCCUAAGUCGGAUUAGCUAGUUGGUGGGGUAAAGGCCUACCAAGGCGACGAUCUGUAGCGGGUCUGAGAGGAUGAUCCGCCACACUGGGACUUAGACACGGCCCAGACUCCUACGGGAGGCAGCAGUGGGGAAUAUUGGACAAUGGGCGGAAGCCUGAUCCAGCCAUGCCGCGUGUGUGAAGAAGGCCUUAUGGUUGUAAAGCACUUUAAGCGAGGAGGAGGCUACUUUAGUUAAUGCCUAGAGAUAGUGGACGUUACUCGCAGAAUAAGCACCGGCUAACUCUGUGCCAGCAGCCGCGGUAA
rnacentral:rRNA from 1 species